rnacentral:sRNA from 1 species
GGACCGACGCGGAUUACGGUGGC